AUGGGUCUGCCAUGUUUUAGAACUUGUCAUUCUGUGUCUUUUGGGUUUGAGAGGAAAAGGUUGGGUAAAAUAGGAUUAAAAACACACACACACCCAAAACCUAGAUACUGGCGCGAAUUUCCGAUGAAAGGCGCCUAGGAAAAAAAUUCUCCUUAGAGCAAAUCUUUUUGAAUGUCUGUGUAUUUGUGUCAGUUUGGGGGCUAAAAGCAGGACUAAGUAAUGGGGUCCAUAGCCGUGUGUGUGAGAGAUGUAGCUGGAGAAGCCAUCCGAAUGGUUUGAAGCAAUGUGACAUUUUAUAAAUAUUUUCGAUUCGAACGGCGGAGUCCUUUAAGCAGCUCUCCCAAAGUACUUUGGGAUGUGUGAUGGUGUAAAAUCCUCCAGAAAUGUAGUCCUCACUGAAAAUGAGGAUUUUAACGGGCUGAUGUUUGGCGGGGUCUGGGCCCCCGAUUCCCGCCGCCUUGCACGCCAGGUGAAGACGCGCCGUCGAGAUCCUUCCCUGGGACCGCACCUAUUAAAAGACUGGACCGAUCAAUGUCUAUCUUGAACAUCAUGUGCACUAUGUCUAGGUUACUAUGGAUACUGCAAUAAAAGAGACAUGGUCCCUGUCUCAGAGGAACCCAUCUGCUCGUCAAGAUACCAGAGAGUAGAGAAGUUAUUAGGAUGCAAUAUGAUAGGUGUGGUAAUUAAGGGGAUGUCUCAGUUCGUUAGCAAUUUUAUGUUUGAACCAGAUGAGAUCCAAGAUCUGUCAAAGCUGAAGACGACGGGAGACUCGUCAGGAGAAAACCAGCUGCCUGUGCU